UUUCGUGUGGAAAUUUCUCCUAUUCCUUUAUGAGCGGGAAUGUAUUCAUAACAUGCUACAUCUUAAAAGGAGUUCUCGGAGCUGCCAGUCAUAUCGUGGAGGUUGAGUAGUAGCCUACUCGUUCUCCUACAUAA
ensembl:snoRNA small nucleolar RNA U109